rnacentral:sRNA from 1 species
UUUUUUUCUUCUUCUUU